AUACGGAAGGUCCGGGCGUUAUCCGGAUUUAUUGGGUUUAGAGGGAGCGCAGGCGGAGAUGCAAGCGUGACGUCAAAUUUCGGGGCUCAACCCCGUCUCGCGUCGCGAACUGCGUCCCUUGGUUGCGGGAAGGGGAGGCGGAACUCGUGGUGUAGCGGUGAAAUGCAUAGAUAUCACGAAGAACUCCGAUCGCGAAGGCAGCCUUCCGGCCCGUCAACGACGCUCAUGCUCGAAGGUGCGGGUAUCAAACAGGAUUAGAUACCCUGGUAGUCCGCACAGUAAACGAUGGACACCCGCGGUUUGGCCUGUAUGGCUGAGCCGCCAAGCGAAAGCGUUAAGUGUCCCACCUGGGGAGUACGCCGGCAACAGUGAAACUCAAAUGAAUUGACGGGG
rnacentral:rRNA from 1 species